CUGGGAGUUUGCAUGGGAAUCAUGAAAUCUUGUCUUUCUCUUUUGAAAUGUUUUGGAAGGAGAGUUAAGAAUAGCUCCGAAACUGGUCUUGUUGUUUUUGUGGGAAGAAUGACCAGAAGCAUAAAAGCUGCAUUUUCCAGUGAGUGCAGGACACCUCUUUUGGUGUUUGCAAUAAACCUAACAGAAUGAACUGCUAUCUAAAAGUACUGUGCCAUGACACCUAAAAUGAAGGGAAUGGGAAAGCAAAGUAAUGGCUCAAAGGCUGCUACCGAGAGCUUUUGUCUACCUUUAACUCAUUGUGCUUCCUUCUUAACAUAAGCAAAGUUGGACAUUCCAAAGAUGGCGUAGAUGAACAUGACCAGGAAGAGCAGGAGGCCGAUGUUAAACAAGGCGGGAAGGGACAUCAUCAGAGCAAAGAGCAGCGUGCGGAUCCCCUUCGCCCCUUUGAUCAGACGCAAGAUUCGACCAAUCCUGGCGAGACGGAUCACUCGGAACAAGGUAUCCAGGAGAGCCUUCAGGCCAGUGUUAAGAGAACUACUUAUGAGCAGAAGCUGAAUGCCAUACCAUGUCAAGAACUUACCAGAAGAAGCUAGGAAAACACUGGGAAGAGAACUCUGAAUUAGAGCUCCUGAGAUACCUAAUCCAGAGUCUGAUGCCAAGCUGACAGACUAAACCAAGUCAACAUGGUGGCUUUGAAAAUUGAAGUCAGUGAGUCAUGGAAGAACAUCUUAUCCCAAUUUUCUUCUUUGAAUUUUCAAUGUGUGAACAUGCGACUACGUACCACUAGGUUUCCAAUGACCAUGACCAUCAUGUAGACUAUAAGGCACAUGGCUUGACCAGCGACCUCCAUACAGUCCCACAUGGUUUCUAUCCACUCUCCACAUAGCACGCGGAAGACAAUCAGGAAGGAGUGGAAGAAAUCAUUCAUGUGCCAGCGUGGGAGUGUACAGUCUUCAUUGAUCUUGCAGACACAUUCUUUGUAGCUUUUACCAAAGAGCUGCAUGCCAACCACAGCAAAAAUGAAGACGAUGAUGGCCAACACCAAGGUAACAGAAUUACAUGGAGACUGUAAUGGAUGUUUCUUAUUACCAAGGAAGAUCUCAUGAAUUGCUCUGAGUGGAUGAGGAUAAAUGACUCAGCGUGAAAAGGACGACGGAGACUGGUGGGCACUGUAGCAAAAUGGAGAAUGUAAGCUCCAUCUGAAAGAGGUGACCACUGUUCAGCUCUAAAGGAUUGUUGCCAUGCAGGAAUAUGAGCUCAGUCUUACCAGGUGCACUCAUUUUUGUGUGAAAAUGUCUUGCUUUUAAAUCUUGGCAACUAAUUCAAAGUUUAAACACUAUGCUGGUUCAGUGCAGGCCAACAACACACACACACACAUACACAUAUACACACAAACAACUAUACAAUUCUACAUGUAUCACCUAUCUAUCUGUUUAGGUGUGGUAUAUGUGGUAUUUACGUAUGUAUAGAUACACACACACCACUUCACAAACAUGUAAAUAUAGCUCUAGAGUUUUAAAGUUGUAUAGUUGUUUAGAUAUACUUAUAUGUGUGUGUAUAUCAAAAUAUGGACACAUGGGCAUAAAUGUAUGCAUGUGUGUCUAUCUGUAUGUGUAUGUGCGCAGACAUCCACACACACAUAUCUGUAGCUGGCUUUUUAUGGAGAUCUUUCUAUUUGAUACAGUCUCUAAUCUACUGACUUUCAAGAAAUGGCAAUUUUUCUACAAGUCAAACAAGAAUAACACAUUCUUUUUCAUGUAGACACGUUUUAGUUGUCAAGGUUAUAUUAUCUGUCAUGCAAUUUUUUUCAUCUAAACUGUAUGUUUUGCCACACUAUCAUGUUUAUUGCAUUUCUGUUGAAUCUUAGAGUAUACUCUAGAUUUUUCUACGGUAAAAGUAAAGUCUUAAGUGAAAAUGUUUCAUUUAAAAAUAUGAAAUAAUAUCCAAAUCUGAUAUAAAUUAUAUGUUUCACAGAUAGUACAUCACUGAAAAGCAAAACACAGCAAAGAUCUGAUUCCAUAGAAUUUAGCAUGCUCAUUUGACAAGGAAAAAUAUCUUGGCCAAAGGCCCAAAGCUGGAUCAUGCAAGCACAGAGGUCACUUGUUACCUAAAAAGCACAUGCAGUCAUUCCAAAUGAAAUAUGUAUGUGGCCAUGACUUUGAUGGAACUUUAUUCUCACUAAAAAUAUAUUGUCUGAAAAUGUGAAUAUAUGAAUACCUAGCAUGAGUUCAAAGCUUGUUAGGUCAGUCAGAGCCACUACUGAUCUUUAGUAAUGCAAUGUAACAGUGACUGGCCUAAAGAGGUAACCUAGAAACUCCAGAAACCAGAAAGAUCUCACUUUCCAGCCUAAUUAGACACUUUCUCUACUGACUUAAUUACUCCUAAACCCUUGAAAUUGUUGCCUUGGAAUCGUUGUUUUGUUUUUGCUUUUAUGUGUGUAUGUUUGUAUUAGUGUAUAUAGUUUGGCUAUUAUAUUUUUAUUGGUAGACUCCAGACCACAGAGUUUUUGUUUUUGUUUUUAUCUUAUUUGAAUGAAAAAAGUUUCAUUUAUGUAUGGGGAAAAGCAUAGCUAUUGUAAAUUAUUUCUAAGUUUCAGGGCACCUGGGUGGCUCAGUUGGUUAAAUGCCCAACUUCAGCACAGGUCAUGAUCUCACAGUUUGUGGGUUUGAGCCCCACGGU